GAUGAACGCUGGCGGCGUGCCUAAUACAUGCAGGUCGAGCGAACGGACGAGAAGCUUGCUUCUCUGAUGUUAGCGGCGGACGGGUGAGUAACACGUGGAUAACCUACCUAUAAGACUGGGAUAACUUCGGGAAACCGGAGCUAAUACCGGAUGAUAUUUUGAACCGCAUGGUUCAAAAGUGAAAGACGGUCUUGCUGUCACUUAUAGAUGGAUCCGCGCUGCAUUAGCUAGUUGGUAAGGUAGCGGCUUACCAAGGCAACGAUGCAUAGCCGACCUGAGAGGGUGAUCGGCCACACUGGAACUGAGACACGGUCCAGACUCCUACGGGAGGCAGCAGUAGGGAAUCUUCCGCAAUGGGCGAAAGCCUGACGGAGCAACGCCGCGUGAGUGAUGAAGGUCUUCGGAUCGUAAAACUCUGUUAUUAGGGAAGAACAUAUGUGUAAGUAACUGUGCACAUCUUGACGGUACCUAAUCAGAAAGCCACGGCUAACUACGUG
rnacentral:rRNA from 1 species